rnacentral:rRNA from 1 species
GAUGAACGCUGGCGGCGUGCUUAACACAUGCAAGUCGAACGGAAAGGCCCUGCUUUUGUGGGGUGCUCGAGUGGCGAACGGGUGAGUAACACGUGAGUAACCUGCCCUUGACUUUGGGAUAACUUCAGGAAACUGGGGCUAAUACCGGAUAGGAGCUCCUGCUGCAUGGUGGGGGUUGGAAAGUUUCGGCGGUUGGGGAUGGAAUCGCGGCUUAUCAGCUUGUUGGUGGGGUAGUGGCUUACCAAGGCUUCGACGGGUAGCCGGCCUGGGAGGGGGGCCGGCCACAUUAGGACUGAGGGACGGACCAGUCGCCUACGGGAGGCAGCAGGGGAAAAUAUUGCACAGUGGGCGGAAGCCUGAUGCAGCAGCGCCGCGUGCGGGAUGACGGCCUUCGGGUUGUAAACCGCUUUCGCCUGUGACGAAGCGUGAGUGACGGUAAUGGGUAAAGAAGCACCGGCUAACUACGUG